GGAACCACUGUAUGUAAGUGCUGAUUCGGUACAGAGCGGCCCGCACAUAUUAUAUUAUAGAGUUUGUCAGAGUUCUACCGUUCAACUUUAUUCAUAUUUACUAUUUACACGACUACUACUCUAAAACUAACGUGUGGACAAAUUUAUUUUAAACUGCGGUAAACCGAAGUAAAGGCUGCAAUCAUAGAAAGUAGACGGCUCAAAACAGCUCGCCG